rnacentral:lncRNA from 1 species
GGGACGUGUGAGACGCUUCUUACGCGUCACAACUUUUAUACCCGGCACUCAGUACUACAUCUGCACCUUAGCGGUGUUUUGUCAAAUUUUAAAUUUUUUCUUCAACUGUCAUCUACAUCUACAACACUUCUCACACCAACACGCUCCGUUAGCUCGCCGCCCUUCACCAGACCCACACACUGCCGACUUGCGGCAGAGGCAGAUGCAGCGCCCGCACACAAAAUAAAAAAACAAAUAUAAGCUGUGGGACGGGGUGGGUUGAAAGUCGGCAGAGGCAGCGGCAAGGGGAGGGCAGAGGCAGAGGCCGAGUGAAGUAGAAGCAGAGUGUGAAUGAGAGAAUGUAAAAAUAACAACAAAAGCUGCGGGACAGGGUGGGCUUAGCCACUGCAAAUUAAUUUCUUCAUUCUGGCCAUAAUAAUCAUCCAAUCGGAUCCCAAUUUGGUGA